rnacentral:rRNA from 1 species
UACGUAGGGUGCGAGCGUUGUCCGGAAUUAUUGGGCGUAAAGAGCUCGUAGGCGGCCUAUUGCGUCUGCUGUGAAAGCCCGGGGCUUAACCCCGGGUCUGCAGUGGAUACGGGCUGGCUUGAGUGCGGUAGGGGAGACUGGAAUUCCUGGUGUAGCGGUGAAAUGCGUAGAGAUCCGGCGGAACACCGGUGGUGAAGACGGUCUCCUGGGCCGAGGGCCGACGCUGAGGCGCGAGAGCGUGGGGAGCGAACCGG